UAGGUAACUCGAUCUUCGUCCUCUCGUUCCAACUUCCAAUUCAUGUUCCAUUUGUUACGGU
rnacentral:sRNA from 1 species